UACUAGCGCCUUGUUAAACUAGUGCCUUGUUAAACUGUCAGACAUUUCUAUAGACUUACAAUGAAAAACAGUAAACCCUUUACUCUCCUUUCCCUCCACUCCUAGAGAAACCACUUUCUACUAUUUUACCUGCUUCUUUUUCUGUCUGUAUACUGUCAACUAGCAUGUUUACACUGGUAUUUUUAAGUUUUUUCAGUUCUAGAAAUUCUGUUGAUUUCCUGCUACUGAAAACGAGAACAAGCUUCUAUACAACUCCUUUCUGACUUCCAACCAAAUACACUUCUCCUCUUUUUACUCUUCCAAAUAUGGAGAAACGUAACUUUUUGGUUAGAAAAAUGACUGGUGUUUUAUUUUGUAUCAUAAAUACUGUUCAUACUUGGGCCAUGGAAUACAUAAUUUUGUUUCCUUUCUUGUAUAACUUUGCUUGCCCUGGAUUUAGCAAACCGUUCAUCUUCCAUGUGCUUAUUUUCCUACAUUUCUGCCAUCAGAAAUCCUCUUUCUACGGUGAGAAUCACUAGGCCCAGGUGGUGAGGGUGAGAUACUGCAGCAAUGUACAGAGCCACACCCAGGGAGCUGCCUGGCAAGAGCGUCUCCACAGAAACAGACUCACAUCUGCUGGCGUCUUCAGAGAGCUCGAAAAGGCAACAGAUGAGAAAACAGAUUCAGAAACCCUGAGACUUUUCUUUUCCAACAUCACGAAGCCCAUCGUUCAAGCCUGGGCCUGGCUCUCCUGUGCUCACCCCUGCUGCUGCUCCUACCAUCACCCGCCAUGCAUGGGUAGGACACACCCUGGCCCCUCUGUCACCCGUGCCUGGCACGGUGCAGGACUGUGCUCGACAGGCAGUGAUGGAGAACCAGACACCUGAUUGACUCAAGACACAAAGUAGAGUCUUAGGAAGAAACAGAGAUAGAAACAUAUCAUAACAUGUGUAAGACUAUUUCACAUCCCCUUUCCAGGUACUGCAUCUCCAUCCACCUUCCAGAGUCUAAUUCUUUGAUACCACCGAGUGAGACAUCAUCUCUCCUUAUUCAGAACUUCUGCUGUUCUCCUCUGGAGUGCUGCAUUUAUGAACCACAGGCAGGAUCCUCUCCUUGGAUUUCUGACGGAGCACACCACAACUUCAAAGGGUGCUGACGGCUCUCUACCACAUCAUGGUUAAACGUUUUUAGCGACCCACACUGGCUGGGGCCAGGAAUGAAGGCUUUAGGUUGUAGGAGGUGCUUCAUAACCAGAUGAGCACAAAAUGUUAUAAAUGAGAUUCAUCUGAUCCUAUUGAGACCUUGCCAGAAACCUUUAGGGGAAAUAAAUUUAAAUUUCAUAGAAG